rnacentral:rRNA from 1 species
CAAAGGAGCGAUCCGGUGACGGAUGGGCAUGCGCCGCAUUAGUUAGUUGGCGGUGUAACGGACCACCAAGACGACGAUGCGUAGGGGUUCUGAGAGGAAGGUCCCCCACACUGGUACUGAGACACGGACCAGACUCCUACGGGAGGCAGCAGUGAGGAAUAUUGGUCAAUGGGCGAGAGCCUGAACCAGCCAAGUCGCGUGAGGGAAGACGGUCCUAUGGAUUGUAAACCUCUUUUGCCGGGGAGCAAAAAGCGGUACGUGUACCGCAUCGAGAGUACCCGGAGAAAAAGCAUCGGCUAACUCCGUGCCAGCAGCCGCGGUAAUACGGAGGAUGCGAGCGUUAUCCGGAUUUAUUGGGUUUAAAGGGUGCGCAGGCGGCGAGUUAAGUCAGCGGUAAAAUUUCGGGGCUCAACCCCGACAAGCCGUUGAAACUGGCUUGCUAGAGUGGGCGAGAAGUAUGCGGAAUGCGUGGUGUAGCGGUGAAAUGCACAGAUAUCACGCAGAACUCCGAUUGCGAAGGCAGCAUACCGGCGCCCAACUGACGCUCAGGCACGAAAGCGUGGGUAUCGAACAGGAUUAGAUACCCUGGUAGUCCACGCAGUAAACGAUGAGCACUAAUUGUCCGGUCCGAAUGAGGGCUGG